AAUGCUGGCGUCUCCUCCUCCGUCUCCCAGAAUCCUUCCCUGGAAAAAAGCAGCGCCCACCGUCAGUUUAACUGAGGACCGAAUUAAGACAUUAGGAAAGACAGCUUUCCCCUUUGCUCGGCUCUCCUUCUCUCUCCUGCUGCCCUGGGAAGAGGUGUCUUCUGCCAUAAUU
rnacentral:lncRNA from 1 species